AUGGCGGACUCCGGUGCUGACCCUGUCGACCGCCGCGCGACCCUCUCCGGCGAGCGCGUGUCCUCUGGUGACCGCUGGCUCAGCUCAGAGAGCGAGUCCCCGGCGCGCUCGUACAGCGAAGUCGCCCGCACUCCGUCGCCCCCGGCCCCGCAGAGGCAGGCUCCUCCGCGCGCCCACCGCUCCUCGGCGGCGCGCCCCAGGCUGCCGGCCAGAAACCGCCUUGGCCCCCGCUCGGAGGUACACCGCGUCUCUGGCGGAGAUGUGGUGGACGAGGACGGAUACCAGCUCCCUCGGUGUCGGAACCGCCGCCGUCGCCCGCGGCAGGCGGCCACCCCCAGCCCUCCGGCGCCCCGCCGCCGGAGCCCCUCGCCUGAGGAAGUCGCCGGGCUCUGCUUUCGUUGCCUGGACCAUCGCCACCGGGUGCGCGACUGCACCAACGACAUCCGGUGCCGCACAUGCCUGCAGUCUGGGCAUGACUCCCGCUCCUGCGACCCAUCGCGCCGGGACGUGGUGCCGCAUCGUCAACAGCACGGCAACCCGGCUGGCCGGGCACGCGUGCAGCCGUCGUCCGCGCUCAUCCCCCUGUCGCCCCCCGCAACAACUGCCACGGCGACACCUACGGUCGACGCGCACCCGCCAGAGCCUGUGCGGAUCAUCAUGGCACGCACCGUCGAGAUGGAGGACGCGGAGACGGUUCUGUCCCGCGCGAUGGUCGCGUCCAUCACCGGCAAUCGACCGUCCGUCUCCGCCGAUGAGGUGGCUGCGCUGCUCUGGGACUCAUUCGACCUCGUCGACGGUGACUUCACCGUCCACCGUCACCACCCGGAGGACUUUCUGAUCCUGUUCAGCUCGCUGGCCAUCAAGGAGCGGCUCGCCGGCGACCACUUCAUCCGCUCGCCACGCUUCUCCCUUUCGAUGCGGCCUUGGUGUAAGCUCGCGCACGCCGGCUGCAGCGAGUUCGAAUUUCACGUCGAACUCGAGCUGCGCGGUGUCCCCACUCAAGCAUGGCACCUCUCCACCGCCGAGCAUAUCCUCGGGCAAAGCUGCUGGAUCGAACGCCUCCACCCCCACACCCGUUCCCGCGCCGACCUCGCCACCUUCCGGCUAUCUGGGCGCACACAUGACCCUGACAAGAUCCAUCGCGCUGCCAUUCUUGAGGUGGUCAAGCAGGUGCCGGCGGCCUUGGACUCCGACACGCCCACCAUCAGGAUCCUGACUUACCCCAUCUCCAUCGCGCUAGCCUGCUCUAUCAUGAUCAGACCGCCGACGACUACAAGGCCCUCGGGCGAAGGGCCAGACCAUGAGCGCGGCACCGACGGGAACCGCGACCACGCCCCUGACCGCGGCCCAGGUCGCGCGCGCCGCCGCGGACGCAAGCGCAGACGCACGGACGCGCCCGCCACCGGUCGGGCCGACGGCAUGGCCAUGGACGACCUGGGCUGGCGCGUCGCUAGGCUGGCAAGGUCAGAUGGCCUAUCCUCGUCGCCGACGUGGCCUUCCGGCGCCGGCUCCGGCGCGGCGCCGUCCGCGAAUCCACUGCGUACGGGCAUGAUGCCCUGGCCUGGACAACGAGGGGGCCACCGCCCGCGUCACCACGCCAGAAGAGGAAAAGGCAGAGGAAAGCAAAAGGAGCAGUCUGCAGAGGGCCCGUCUGGCUGCACUGACGCGGUCGCCACAGACGCCCAGCUGGGCCUGGUCGGGCCGCGUGUCGACCCACAACAGGCCGCGAGUUCAAAUCUGGUGGCUGGCAACGAUCCCAAUGACGAUUUUGUGGGGCAUAGACCGGCCCCCCCCUGA
rnacentral:rRNA from 1 species